GAUGAACGCUGGCGGCGUGCCUAAUACAUGCAAGUCGAGCGAACAGACGAGGAGCUUGCUCCUCUGACGUUAGCGGCGGACGGGUGAGUAACACGUGGAUAACCUACCUAUAAGACUUGGAUAACUUCGGGAAACCGGAGCUAAUACCGGAUAAUAUAUUGAACCGCAUGGUUCAAUAGUGAAAGACGGUUUUGCUGUCACUUAUAGAUGGAUCCGCGCCGCAUUAGCUAGUUGGUAAGGUAACGGCUUACCAAGGCAACGAUGCGUAGCCGACCUGAGAGGGUGAUCGGCCACACUGGAACUGAGACACGGUCCAGACGCCUACGGGACGCAGCAGUAGGGAAUCUUCGGCAAUGGGCGAAAGCCUGACGGAGCAACGCCGCGUGAGUGAUGAAGGUCUUCGGAUCGUAAAGCUCUGUUAUUAGGGAAGAACAAAUGUGUAAGUAAAUAUGCACGUCUUGACGGUACCUAAUCAGAAAGCCACGGCUAACUACGUG
rnacentral:rRNA from 1 species